rnacentral:rRNA from 1 species
AUUGAACGCUGGCGGCAUGCCUUACACAUGCAAGUCGAACGGCAGCACGGGAGCUUGCUCCUGGUGGCGAGUGGCGAACGGGUGAGUAAUACAUCGGAACGUACCCUGAAGUGGGGGAUAACGUAGCGAAAGUUACGCUAAUACCGCAUAUUCUGUGAGCAGGAAAGAGGGGGAUCGCAAGACCUCUUGCUUUUAGGAGCGGCCGAUGUCGGAUUAGCUAGUUGGUGAGGUAAAGGCUCACCAAGGCGACGAUCCGUAGCGGGUCUGAGAGGAUGAUCCGCCACACUGGGACUGAGACACGGCCCAGACUCCUACGGGAGGCAGCAGUGGGGAAUUUUUGGGACAAUUGGGCGCAAGCCUGAUCCAGCCAUGCCGCGUGAGUGAAGAAGGCCUCGGUG